ACAUAUCACGUUGAAACACCUGUUUGCGUACGAUCAUCGAAAUUAAGCAACAUCGAGACUAAUCAGAACUUAGAUGGGUGACCUCGUGGGAAUAUCAGGUACUGUA